GUGAAUCAUCAAAUCUUUGAACGCAAAUUGCGCUUCUUGGCAUUCCGGGAAGUAUGCCUGCUUGAGGGUCAGUAUUAAUAAAAAAUCGGUUUAGUUACAUAUUGUGACGUUUUCGGAGUUUGGGCUAUCUUAACAUUUUUGGUUAAGUGGCUUAAAAUUGACAUUUUUUGUGCAUUUUUAAAAGUACAUAAAUUUUUUUUCUUCGUCUAUUCUUAAUGCAAUAAUUUUAUUAGAUGUGAUGACAUCGUAUGGCCUCGAGUUAAUAA
rnacentral:misc_RNA from 1 species